UACGUAGGGUGCAAGCGUUGUCCGGAAUUAUUGGGCGUAAAGAGCUUGUAGGCGGUUUGUCGCGUCUGCUGUGAAAUUUCGGGGCUCAACCCCGAACUUGCAGUGGGUACGGGCAGACUAGAGUGUGGUAGGGGAGACUGGAAUUCCUGGUGUAGUGGUGAAAUGCGCAGAUAUCAGGAGGAACACCGAUGGCGAAGGCGGGUCUGCUGGGCCGAUACUGACGCUGAGGAGCGAAAGGCGUGGGGAGCGAACAGG
rnacentral:rRNA from 1 species